UGCUCAGCCCCAACACCCAUGUAUAAAUUUUACACUGUUGGAAAAGGAUUAUAAGUGGAAGGAGAUCCUUAAUUUCCCCAGAGCCUGUAAGCUCCCAAAGAAGAUGCUAAUAGCACUGUGCCUUCUUGACGCCCUGACUGUACCAAGCACAGAUUGCUGAAGAUUAAAAGACCACUGGAAGUUCAGACAGCUCUAUUCCCAGAUGAAAAGGAUGUACAGAGAUCAAAGGAAGAAAUGUUUGCUGUAAACUGGAGGGUGAAAUGCCUUCUGGGCUUGGAAGACAGACCACAAACCCAGAAAUGGAU